rnacentral:lncRNA from 1 species
UACUGUGUUCCUUCUACAUCUUUCUUUCUCUCAAAGUAUUCUAUCUACAAAAUUAAUGAUUUCUCUGUGCUCCAAAUCGCUCUUCUUCGGCGGCGUUGCUUCAAGGCUCUAUGUCUUUUUAUUAUUGUGAUGGUUAGAUUUUUUAUUUUCUCCUCAAACUCUUUUCUGUAUUUUAUGGAUCUGCUAUAUUAAAAGACAAUGAAAAUACAGAGAGAUUCAUGCCUUUUUCUAUAUUGAUAAUUUAGUCUAAAAGGUACAUUUUUUAUUUGAAAAAGUUUAUUGUGGUUGUUUGCAUGCCAUUUUUAUGAAUUCUUAAUGUUUUUGAUAUUUCUUGAAUAUUGUAUACAUAUGGAAGAUGCGAGAAUUUGAAAUGGCUAUUCAAAAUUUCUGCAUGUGAGUUCGCAUUUUCUUCUCGCAUUUUUAUGAUAUAAUUCACUCUUUUUGGUGUUCGAACACUGCAUCACAUGGUGGUACAAAGAGCAACCUUAUUGGUUCGAUCUUUCAAGAGUAGAAAAUAUUGAUUUCCGAUCUAGAUACAAGUUUUGGGAAUUUACUUAGUAUUUUAAUUUUAAUUUUUGAGUGUUGUUUGGAGUUAUAUUUCUCAUAAUGUUUAAGGUUUUUGUUUGUUUACUUAUUCCCCUGCAGUAGUUUUCCUUCUAAAUUAUUUCUUGAUUUUGACAUACCUUUAAAUUUUGGCUCAUGUUAGUUACUAGGGUAACAAUUCUUCUAUUGUGUGGAACAUGUUUCUCAUAAACUUAUAAGCAACGUUGAAAGUUUUUGGACUAAUUUAGGUAGGAUUUGAUAGAAAGUAAAAUUAUUGACUGAAAAUUAUUACUUUCAGAACGAAAAUAAUAGUGAAAAAUACUUCUUAUGCCUACACUUGGGACCUCACCUUCCAAUCUAAUACACUACUUCAUUAAUCAAUUGCCUGUUUUCGAGUAGUUUUUUACUAUAUCUUUGAUAUGUUUAGAGAAAAUUGAUCCAACGAUCUAGACAUGAGUGAAGAAAUUAACGUAUAAUAUUUCUUUUGCCUUUCGCAGGUUAAGAGUGAUCAAGUUAUCCUAAAAACUUCUAGGUGAAGCACUCUGUUCUGCUUGUACCGGCGAGGACAUGGGACUUCUGCUGAAAUUAUUGUUCACUACACCAUAGGCAAUGUGGAGGUCACUUUUUUGGAGAUGUACAUGUUUUGGGUCUUAACUGUAAAGUACCCUCCUCCUUUGGCACUCUGAUCUAUCUUGCACUCAUACCACUAAAGAACCAAGGUAGUUUUCUCCAUUUUUUGUGCUUGUAAUACAUAAAUGUGUCUUAUAGUUAUGGCUAUGUAUGAGUUUUUAAUAAAGAUCAAGUGUUACAGUAGAUGAACUCACUUCCUAUCUAUAUUUGCCUAUUUUUUUAUUUUUUUUAAAAAAAACUAAUAAUAAAUCAAUUGACACUAUCAUCUAGACACAAUAUUAUUGUGAUCCAUAGGUAUCAAAGUUAAUCUAAGUCAGAGACAACACUAAAUUGAGAUUCCAACUACAUCUGAAAACAUGUUGUUAAUUCAACUACCAAGUCAUGAUCCUUCUGCGCUAUGACCUUAUGAGUUGAAUGAGCACAUGCGACAUGAGAGCUGAAAAAUUAGAAAUCAUUGUUUCAAAAUUAUGAAUAGGAUGUCAUAAUGGUAUCCAAGAGAGUAACAACAUAUAAAUGAAAUAAGACUACAAGAGAGAUAUGUUGAUCCGUUUUAAUAACCGUGUUGGUAAGUCAAUAUGCCACUUUCUGAUUUUAGUAGAUAUUUGCAUCUAUUUAGAUUAGAUGUCUCAGCUUAUUAUGAUAGUUAAGAAUUGAUGAAAGACUACUAUUUCAAAUACUCUAUAUAGUGUUGUUAUGAUUGAUGAGAUAGUGCCGUUUUGUUUCUAUGAGAUUUUUUCCUUUGUUGUGUGAAUUUCAAUGUCCGUUUGGAUAUAAGAACUAAAACCUGAAAUUCGGUAAAAUAACUGUUGAAAAAAUGUUUCUAUUCUCAAACUGAAUUUUUCGUUCCAAGUCUUAAAAGAAGAGAGGAUCACUGAUAAUUCAAAUAUUUAAGAACUCUUUAAUAAGUUUUGCUCUCUUAUAAUAUAAUAAAUUCUUAUUUGUACUAGGCUUUCUUCUAUAGUCCUAUAUUACCUUGCACGCAACAAUGUUAUUAUAAUCAAAAACCUUGGAAACAUAUGUCAUAUGUUUGAGAAAGUUAAUAGGGCAAGAAAUGUAACAAGACAAAUGAAUAUCAAUUACUUUGUUAUAUUUUCUUUUGAGCAUUUUAUUUGUGUAUUGGUAAUAGUUGAAUUGAGUUUGUAUUGUUUGUUUUAAGCUAAUUUGUAUUUUCUUGCUAAAAAAUUGUAGUUGUGUUAAGCAUAUGACUUUACUGUAUUGACGUCUACUAUAUUAAAUAAAAAUCCUACCUUACUUUAGUAACUAUAUAACCAUUCCAUUUCACACGCUUACAAGUUACAGCUUUAUAGUGUCAUAUAUGUUAGUUCAUGUUUCUCAGAGACAACAUUUAUAUCCGACACUCAGCAGAUAGGAAAAUUAGGUGUGGCAUCAUAGCGGGGGCGAUCAUAUGCUACUUCAGAGUUCCAGAUUUACAUGUAAGUUAAUAUGCCAGUUUCUGUUAAAAUGUUUGAGGCAACUUCACAUGAGUUUAGUUGUUCUUAGCAGUUAUUUAUAUCAAUUUACAUUUGAUGCUUCAUCUUAGUGCGGUUGUUUCAAAUUAUGAAAUGAAAAUCGUUCUUCACUUUGAUGUUAAUUAAAAUUUUACAGUAAAAAUUGAUUGGUAAUACUUUUCAAGAAUGGAACAAGGAUUGCAACCUCUAUAAUGAGAAAAUUUUGCACAACUAAGUAAUAUUCUACGUUGCAUUGAACAUGGAAAAUUUAUCAGUUUAUCUCAAGUAUUGUACAAAAGUUUUGAUUCCCCUGUUUUUGGGAGAAAUAUUGGAGCACCAUCAUAUAUGGCACCAACAUUAAGUUUACGAAAGUCUGGUAUUGAAGUACCAUCGAAGUAUAUGCAAGAUUCAUUAUCAAAAUUGCGAAGAUGGAGUUCAGAUU